UCAAAAGUUAAAGUUGCUUUUGACAAAAAGUGAGGAAAAUGAUUGGUUGAACUAAUAGGAUUAAUAAACUGAAUAGUUUUGAUUGUGUUGAAAGCUUGGUCUCCAAAGUAAAAGUCAAACAAGGCCAACAUCGAUUGGAUUCUAUAACAUAUGACAUGUUACCCCAUACGUUGAUAACUAAGCAUGACAGAUGAUGCCAAACUAUUCCUUUUAUUCAUCUGGAUUACUCAACUAA